GACCGCAAUUAUAGGCAUAAUUCGUUUUGUGCUGAAUGUAUAGCGAACUGGUGAAUGCGAUCUGGCGAUCUUUUAUCCCUGAAUUUCUGCAUGUAUAGGAUGUAGUUGCAGAUUAAAUAAUUACAUGGUUCUGCUCGAUUUAGGGAAAGAAAUGAAUACGGUGUACUUAAAAGG